GUAUUCACUGAUGAUGAUUUGAUUUUAUACAUUCUGGGAGGCCUUGGACCUGAAUAUGACUCUGUUGUCAUUAAUCUCACUUCCAGGGGUGAUAGAAUUACCAUCUCUGAGGUUCAGUUUCUCCUUCAGAGUCAAGAGA